rfam:Heterocephalus glaber contig270989, whole genome shotgun sequence.
AGAUGUGUGGGACAAUGUGGCUAUGACAUCUGUCACCCCAUCGAUCACCAGGGUUGAUUCGCCCGAUCUGGCUGGCUAGGCAGGUGUCCCUUUCCUUCUUCACCACUCCACGUGUGUCCCUCCCAAAGAUGCACAAUAGGUCGAAAAGAACGAACACCCAAGCUACAGGAGGACAAUUUCCUCAUCAAGGGUAUAUGAGUAGCUACACUCCCCUGCUAGAACCUUCAUACAAGAGCUCAAGAAUACUCCACUAUAGGACCCGGAUGUAGCUCAGGGGUACAGAACUUGCCUAAAUGCACAGGUCUUGGCUUU